CAGUAGCCGCGGGAAUACGGAGGGGGCUAGCGUUGUUCGGAAUUACUGGGCGUAAAGCGCACGUAGGCGGCUUGGUAAGUUAGAGGUGAAAGCCUGGAGCUCAACUCCAGAAUUGCCUUUAAGACUGCCGAGCUAGCAGGUGAGAGAGGUAAGUGGAAUCCCGAGUGUAGAGGUGAAAUUCGUAGAUAUUCGGAAGAACACCAGUGGCGAAGGCGGCUUACUGGCUCAUACUGGACGCUGAGGUGCGAAAGCGUGGGGAGCAAACAGGAUUAGAUACCCCCGUAGUCCCUGUCUCUUAUAC
rnacentral:rRNA from 1 species